CAGGAAAUAGUUUAUUAAAAUUUUAAUUUUGGAGAUUGAAGAUGAGUUUUUUACUCUUUCCUGA
rnacentral:tRNA from 1 species